AGCAGCCGCGGUAAUUCCAGCUCCAAUAGCGUAUAUUAAAGUUGUUGCAGUUAAAAAGCUCGUAGUUGAAUUUUAGGCCUGGCCGGGCGGUCCGUCUUUGGCGAGUACUGUUCUGUGUCGGGUCUUACCUUCUGGUAAACCGGCAUGUUCCUUUAUCGUGUAUGCCGGGGAACCAGGACCAUUACCUUGAAAAAAUUAGAGUGUUUAAAGCGGGCUUUUGCUUGAAUAGAUUAGCAUGGAAUAAUAAAAUAGGACGUUGGUUCUAUUUUGUUGGUCUAGGACCACCGUAAUGAUUAAUAGGGAUAGUUGGGGCAUUAGUAUUCAAUUGUCAGAGGUGAAAUUCUUGGAUUUAUUGAAGACUAACUAUUGCGAAAGCAUUUGCCAAGGAUGUUUUCAUUAAUCAAGAACGAAAGUUAGGGAUCGAAGACGAUCAGAUACCGUCGUAGUCUUAACCAUAAACUAUGCCGACUAGGAAUCGGGCGACGUUAUUUCACGACCCGCUCGGCGCCUUAUGGGAAAC
rnacentral:rRNA from 1 species